GAUGGUGGCUCGCGGAAUGAUGCCAUUUCCCAUUCUGUGUGGCUGCCUGCUUGCAGCGGCUGUGACUGCAGAUGCUACUGCAAGCCUAGUAGAGCAAAGGCCCAGGUGGGUCUUCGUACUCCAUGGACAGACGAAGACCCUACAUUGUAUCCUGAAGAAUUCCCAGUAUCCCUGGAUGAGCUGGUACCAACACGAUCUCCAGGGACAACUACAGAUUCUGGCCAGUCUUCGUAGUUCUGGAGAGAAGGAGGUCAUAUCCCGUCCUGGAGCAGACUACCUGGCUACACGGGUCAGUGACACAGAGCUAAGUUUGCAAGUGACCAAUGUGACCCAGGGCAGGUUUCUCUACUGCACCUGCAGCAAAGACACAAUGAGAAACUUUCCUUACACAUCUGAAUAA